AUGUUGGGAUUCUUUUGUAAUCGGAUCGACACCUCCGACUCGGAGGAGGAGGAGGAAGAACCUGUAUCACACUUUAUUCCCACCACAACAUCCGGCUCAUGCAUAUCCAAGGAUGACCGGAUCGAGUCGAAGUAUGAUGUAUGGGAUUGCCCACAUGGUCAUGUCCUAUUUGGGGAAAAGGGUCGGAGAUCCACGAAGUUCAUCAUUCGGAACCCCAUGACGUCCCGCUGGACAGAGGUGCACACGCCCAAAAGAUACAUGGUGGCCGACAACCGUGUAGCCGCUGUGCGUUGUGCUAUGACCGGAUGUGACCACCGCCAGUGUCAUGAGGGCCCGUUCCGGUUGGUAUUUUCCUACUUGUAUGUGGGAGAGGGCGAGGACGAGGAUGAUUGUGUUGCAUACGCGGGUGUGUCCCUGCCAGAGAUGUGCAAUUGGAGCAAUCCGUGCUCUAAAUUUCUGAGCAAGCCAUGCUCUAAACCAUGGAGCAAGCGGUGGAGAGAUUCUUCCGGUCUUCAUGUUCCAUUUGAGGCAUGCAUCGAAUCAAUCCCCCCAGUCCUCAUCGAAGACUCACUCUACUUCAUACUUUCAUAUUAUGUUGAUGUUUGCGUAGGAAUUCUCAAGUACAACUUGAGCUCUAAUUGCUUAUCACUGCUUGAUGGGCCACCGGUGGAGGAUGUCUUUGUCGGUGCCACUAUACUCAUGGCCAUGGAGGACGACAGGUUGGGUCUUACACACAUGGAUAGAUUAACCCUCUACUUGUGGUCAAGACAGAUGGGUUCCAACGGAGUUGCAUCAUGGACUCAAUGA
rnacentral:rRNA from 1 species